ensembl:miRNA gmo-mir-206 gmo-mir-206
ACAUGCUUCCUUAUAUGCCCAUAUGAAUACGCCAGUUAUGGAAUGUAAGGAAGUGUGUGG